UGGGGAAUAUUGCACAAUGGGCGCAAGCCUGAUGCAGCCAUGCCGCGUGUAUGAAGAAGGCCUUCGGGUUGUAAAGUACUUUCAGCGGGGAGGAAGGCGAUGCGGUUAAUAACCGCGUCGAUUGACGUUACCCGCAGAAGAAGCACCGGCUAACUCCGUGCCAGCAGCCGCGGUAAUACGGAGGGUGCAAGCGUUAAUCGGAAUUACUGGGCGUAAAGCGCACGCAGGCGGUCUGUUAAGUCAGAUGCG
rnacentral:rRNA from 1 species